GACGAACGCUGGCGGCGUGCUUAACACAUGCAAGUCGAACGGUGAAGGCGGAGCUUGCUCUGCCGGAUCAGUGGCGAACGGGUGAGUAACACGUGGGCAACCUGCCCCUCACUUCGGGAUAACUCCGGGAAACCGGGGCUAAUACCGGAUACGACCUCCUUGGGCAUCUUUGGAGGUGGAAAGUUUUUCGGUGAGGGAUGGGCCCGCGGCCUACCAGCUUGUUGGUGGGGUAGUGGGUCACCAAGGCGACGACGGGUAGCCGGCCUGAGAGGGCGACCGGCCACACUGGGACUGAGACACGGCCCAGACUCCUACGGGAGGCAGCAGUGGGGAAUAUUGCGCAAUGGGCGAAAGCCUGACGCAGCAACGCCGCGUGCGGGAUGAAGGCCUUCGGGUUGUAAACCGCUUUCAGCAGGGAAGAAGCCGCAAGGUGACGGUACCUGCAGAAGAAGCACCGGCUAACUACGUGCCAGCCGCCGCCGUAA
rnacentral:rRNA from 1 species